GACGAACGCUGGCGGCGUGCUUAACACAUGCAAGUCGAACGGAAAGGCCCUGCUUUUGUGGGGUGCUCGAGUGGCGAACGGGUGAGUAACACGUGAGUAACCUGCCCUUGACUUUGGGAUAACUUCAGGAAACUGGGGCUAAUACCGGAUAGGAGCUCCUGCUGCAUGGUGGGGGUUGGAAAGUUUCGGCGGUUGGGGAUGGACUCGCGGCUUAUCAGCUUGUUGGUGGGGUAGUGGCUUACCAAGGCUUUGACGGGUAGCCGGACUGAGAGGGUGACCGGCCACAUUGGGAUUGGGGUACGGCCCAGACUCCUACGGGAGGCAGCAGUGGGGAAUAUUGCACAAUGGGCGGAAUCCGGAUGCAGCAACGCCGCGUGCGGGAUGACGGCCGUCGGGUUGUAAACCGCGUGCGCCUGUGACGAAGCGUGAGUGACGGUAAUGGGUAAAGAAGAACCGGCUAACUACGUG
rnacentral:rRNA from 1 species